AGCAGCCGCGGUAAUUCCAGCUCCAAUAGCGUAUAUUAAAGUUGUUGCAGUUAAAAAGCUCGUAGUUGAAUUUCGGGGUCAGCAGGUUGGUCGUGCCUCUGGUAUGCACUGGUUUCGCUGAUUCCUCCUUUCUGAAGAACUGUAAUGUCAUUAAUUUGGUGUUGCAGGGAAACAGGACUGUUACUUUGAAAAAAUUAGAGUGUUUAAAGCAGGCUAACGCUUGAAUACAUUAGCAUGGAAUAAUGAAAUAGGACGUUUGAUUCUAUUUUGUUGGUUUCUAGGAUCGACGUAAUGAUUAAUAGGGAUAGUUGGGGGCAUUAGUAUUCAAUUGUCAGAGGUGAAAUUCUUGGAUUUAUUGAAGACUAACUACUGCGAAAGCAUUUGCCAAGGAUGUUUUCAUUAAUCAAGAACGAAAGUUAGGGGAUCGAAGACGAUCAGAUACCGUCGUAGUCUUAACCAUAAACUAUGCCGACUAGGGAUCGGAUGAUGUUAAUUUUUUAAUGNCUCA
rnacentral:rRNA from 1 species